AGGGUCAUUUAUCAGAGGUGGAAUUGUUUCAGAAGGUUUAGCCCUUCCCAGAUUAAAAAAGUCAUUGGGCUUUAGGAAACUGAUGUGAAUAGGCUGUUGUAGUGUUUCAGGAGUGUUUUAUCCUCAAAUACUCUUUUUCCACCUGCAUGUGAUUGCACAUGAGAUGUUUCACUGUUUGAUUCAGGUUUGGAGGACCCAGUUUCUGGAAUAAUGCUUGGUUAGCUCUGCUGGUGGAGAGACGGCUACAGUAAGGCACAGAGGAGGUGAGAGGGUUGGCUGGGACUGUUGUGUGUGCAGUAGUUGUGAGCAACAAAGGAAGCAUGGGGUAAUCUUGCGGGUUUAUGUAUUUUUCUGGACAAUCUUGAUGCUGUUCCAGAUGCAUCCUCAAAGCAGAACAGCCAGGAGUGCAGAGGAGGAUGAGAACAGCCGCCUACCUGUCAGAGAGGAGAUGCAAUGAGUGCAAAAGGUAUAGACUCUGUCAAAGUUUAUUAACUUAUCAGAUAGAGCAAGUUAUUUUAGUAUAAGAUGUGAGUGGGCUUUGGCAGUCUUUCUGCCUUGUGUUGUUUGAGGGUGGGGAUUGUUCUUUUUCUGUAGGACUUAAUCUCUCUCCCCAAACAUAGUAAAUGAAGUUAACGAACCUAUGAGAUUCCUGUAAAUGUGCCUUGAUGAGAAUUGUCUGUUACCAUCUCUCAAACUAGAUAGGGUUUGAAGGAAGCACAGUCGAUAAUAGCCUCAGUGAUAGCUCCUGCUCUUUUUGUUAAUUUUGUUUGUAUUAUUUGGUUUGUUGUUUUUUUUUAAUAGCUGAGUAAUUUCACGAGUUCUGUGAGUGAGAGCUCUUUUCUUUAGAGAUGAGGUUGUGGCUAUUUUGGGCGAAGGGGCUUAUGGAAGAGUAGUGGAAUGCGUUAUUGAUCAUGAAGAGUAAGUAUUUAAUACAAGUCAUUUUUCCUGCUCACAGUGUAGUUCAUGAAGUGCUGAUGAUCCCAGGUUGUAUCUUUGCUUCCUCUUUUGCUGCUCCACAUGUACUUCCUUAAGGCUGCUGCUCCAGUUCCCAAACACAAGUGUCUGUUAGUACAUCAUGCUAAACCCAGUGCCUUGACAGGAGGGUUGUGCAGAACUGGGGGAUGACGUGAUGGGUGCUCCAGCCUGGCAGGGUUCAAGGGCUGGCAGGGGGAGGUGGUCUGGACUAUGUAGGAUGAAGCUGAAGCCCCGUUCUGGGGCAGUCAUGGGGCCUUCACCACCCACCCCAGGAAGGUCUCAGAUCUGGGGUCUAGCAGUGAGCAUCUUGUAAAUCAAGAAUCUGUUUUGUGUUUGAUGGCAGUUUUGCCGUGUGCAGAGUAUGAAACUAGAUUGUCUUCCUAGUGGCCGUAGAAAGCACUUGACCCCUCAGUUGCUUUUUCACUCCUAAAACACACAGGAGGUGGCCUGUCAUUUUUGACUGUUAGGCUGCAAGAUGUGUUUCCCCAGUAGUAGCCCAGCAUCUAUAAAUACAAAGGGGAAGUAAAUGGGGCCUUUAACCUUUAAGAAUAAUACAGACAUAUCAAGUAUGUUUGCACGAUUGAAAUAUUAGAUUUUAGUUGUGUUUGUGCACAGAUGAGCCCUGGUUACAUUAAGUCAGUAUGUACUUAAAGAAAAUAGCUUUUCUGAUAAAGCUGUCGUUGCUGUAAACAACAUACAUGGUGAUAAUUACUGAAUUUCAUCCUAGAAUCAUGGAAAUGGUUUGGGUUGGAAGGGACCUUAAAGAUCACCUCGUUCCAACUUGAAACUCUUCGUUGUUCUACCAACCGUUAAAAACCUGUCAAGGAAGGCAGAUAUGUUGCUGUGAAAACAGUAAUGUUGACACAUACUCUGAAGUGGCCUGUGCAAGAAUAAGAAAACUGCAACAUUUAAAUGCAUUAGAUCCCAGCAAUACAUAGUAAGUACACAAAGCCACCUGCACUUUGUUCUGCUUUGAGAUUCCUGUGCUGUCACCUUCCGUAACAUGUGGCAUCUGUAUCUAGUUGUUACACACCCUCCUGCUGCAACUCAGGCGUUUUCCUGCUGUUGUACUCGGUGUGUCCAGAUGCUGGAGUGGCUUGAGUACAUGGACAUGUCUGCAUUGUUUUUGAGCUACUGGGACUCAGCACCUUCUGAAAGAGCAUGGCUUUCAGCCACUGAGCGUGGUGGACAUCAGACAGGUGACGUACCAGCUUUGCCAGUCUGUGAGCUGUAUGAUUCUUUUCUGCUGUAUCUGUUAACUUUUUAUGGAACGUGCUAACUGUAUUGGUUAUCUUGCAUUCAGAAAGCUGAUGCAUACAGACCUGAAUCCAGAAAACAUUUUAUUUGUGAGGUCUGACUACACAGCAGAGCAUAGCCCCAAACUAAUAAACACACAAUGACCAUCAGCUAAAAAUUACAGACACUGAAGUUGUGGACUUUGGGAAUGCAAUGUAUGAUGAUGGGUACCACAGCCCUGUCAUGACUACUUGUGCAUUCCCAGCUCCAGAAGUUAUUCUAGGACUAGGAUAGUCACAGCCUUGUGACAUCUGGAGCACAGGUUGCCUUCUCAUGGAAUACGGCUUUGGAAACAUUCUCUUUCUGGUAGGUAACUAUGAACCUCAAAACGAUGCAGCAUGUGUAAUGCUGCUCAGCUGGAUGAAACUACACUACAGGGACGUGGGGACUGCGGGGAAUGGCUUCAGAAAUGAAACUGCAUUUCUCUGUUACACCAAGCAGAAAAGAAGUUGUAGGAAAAAAGGAACUUCUCAGUGGAAGACUCCUGCAAGCAGCCUGACACAAGGAUCACCCUGUUAACAGUUGUAAUUUCCAAGACACACUAGUAAGACACAGCUUCAUCAGCAAAUACGACUCAGUACCCAAAUUCUGUCAUCCUGACAGCAUUGCCAAACCCAACAUUUAUGAACAAGGGAGAAUAAAAAAAGGGUAAAAGGAAUCGGAUGCCUAUAGCCUCUCUUUUCUCCUUCACUGGAAACUGAUUAUGGGGUGCAGGGUACUGUUAAAACCAAAGUAAGGUUAGUGGGUGGUUCCUGACAAUGCCUUCUAACACUGAACUAUCCACCUUGAUUUCCCUCCAGACUUAUAACAGCAAAGAACACAUGGCAAUGAUGGAGCGAGUAGUGGGGCCUUUGCCAAGGCACAUGGUACAGAACAGGAGGUAAGGAUGUUCUUCCAUACCUGGACUGCUAGAGAUUAAUAAAUACAGGUAGUUUGAGCUCUGGUUUAAUAGCAGUUUAACAGGAAGUUUCAUAAACUCAGGUUCCUCCUCUUGCUCUAUUAACAAGCUGUGAACUUACAUGCCAGUAAACUUCUAGUGAAGGGAUAAACCAGGAUCUCUGCAUAACAAACUGUGGUCUGUCUUAGGACUGUUUAAGGAAAUGCAGGUAUUUAACUCAGAGCCAGCUGGCCUGGAAUGAAAACACCCAUGCUGGUCAGUGCUGCUUGAGGCUCUGUAAGCCACUGCUGGUAAGGAGACAAAGGGAAAUUCUUUUGGGGAGAAGAACUUUUUGGUGCAGUUUUAGGAUUAAAAACCCCAUGGUGAUGUUUUCUUCCUGGAGGAAUAUAUGACCUGCAGCAAUGCUGAGCACAGGAACCUCUUUGAUCUGAUUGGGAAGAUGCUGGAGGUAUGACCCUGCCGAGCGCUUUACACUUGAAGCAGUGCUAAAACAUCCUUUCUUCUUCCCACUGAAACGGGGAAAAAAGGUCAUGGUCUCCUGCAGAUGAGGAUGCCAAGGGAGGUUUUCCAGUGAAGAAACAGAAAACAGUGUAAAUACUUGCACUAAAUAAUGAUCAAUUGUUUUGCAAAUGUGCUAUUUUUUUAUGGGCAUUUCUGCUUUUUUUUGUGGAUUUAUACUAGGACUUUUUGGAUAUUCCACAGUUGAA